rnacentral:lncRNA from 1 species
GGAAUUCGCGGCGAUGGCUGCACAGCUCUGACUGUACUGAAAGAACAUCAAAUUAUACACUUGAAAUGGGUGAACUUUGAGGGAUGUAAAUUAUAAGUCAAGAAAGCGGUUAAAAUACUGAUUUCAGGACACAGCCCAGACCUGCUCAAUCAGAAUCUCAAUGUAAAACCAAAGAAUCUGCAUUUCAUCCAAACACCCCAGCAGGAUCAGCUCCAGAGUUUGCAGGCCCCAGCACAAAAUGAAAGUGUAGGGCCCCUGUUCCUAAAUCAUUAAGAAUUUCAAGACAGUGACAACAGAGCUUUAAAACAAGCGUGGGGCCCUUCUGAGCACGGGCCCUGUUCGACUGCACGGGUCGUGGGCCCGUAAAGCCGGCACUGUAGCCCAGACUAAAGUUUGGGGUGCUCGACCCAAAGGAAGGAGGGAAUUUGGUUAGCGUGUGUGCCUCUCCGGUGGCAAAGCUGUAGGGGGAGGAUCUGGAAGUACGAGAGGAAAAAUAAAAAACUGCGUAAGAUUUCCUUUCCCUGCCAGAACAGUGAAUCGGUUUUAGUCAGAAGACCCGUGGUGGAGUCCCCCAGCCAGCGGCUGAGUCAUCUCCAGAACUGUGGGCUUUUGGUGAAAAAAAGAGAAAGGCCCAGGCUGCUGCCAGAUCUUCGGGAGAUCCUGGGUGGGUCUAUCAAUCAAGCAACACUGACCAAGUCUUCUGGUUGAUUCAAGCUGAAUGGGUCGCAGAUCUUCAGGGUUGGUGAAUGCAUCCAUGUGCCGGGGGGGUGGCACAACCUGACCUCAUAGGGACAGAAGCUCCUGGGCUUGAGACCCUUCCGGACCUCGCCUUAUGUGCCUCUUCAUCUAGCUGUUCAUCUGUAUUAUUUAUAAUAUCCAUUAUAAUAAACCAGUAAACAUAAGUAAAAUGUUUUCCUGAGUCCUGUGAGCCAUUCUAGCAAAUUACUAAACCAGAGUAGAGGGUUGUGGGACCCUCUGAUUUGUAGCCAGGUCACACAGAAGUGUGGGUAACCUGGGGACCCGC